AUUGAACGCUGGCGGCAGGCCUAACACAUGCAAGUCGCGCGAGCGGCGGACGGUUGAGUAAUGCCUGGGAAUUGCCCAGUCGAGGGGGAUAACAGUUGGACACGACUGCUAAUACCGCAUACGAUUAGAUUGCCCAGGUGGGAUUGGCUAGUUGGGGAGGUAAUGGCUAACCAAGGCGACGAUCCCUAGCUGGUCUGAGAGGAUGAUCAGCCACAAUGGAACGGAGACACGGUCCAAACUCCUACGGGAGGAAGCAGGGGGAAAUAUUGCACAAUGGGGGAAACCCUGAUGCAGCCAUGCCGCGUAUGUGAAUAAGGCCUUCGGGUUGUAAAGCACUUUCAGCGAGGAGGCGUUACUCGCAGAAGAAGCACCGGCUAACUCCGUGCCAGCAGCCGCGGUAAUUC
rnacentral:rRNA from 1 species